rnacentral:rRNA from 1 species
AGAAUUAAGCCAUGCAUGUCUAAGCACAUGCCUUAAUACGGUGAAGCCGCGAAUAGCUCAUUACAACAGCCACCGUUUACUAGAAUAUAGUUAUCCUACUUGGAUAACUGUGGCAAUUCUAGAGCUAAUACAUGCAAAAAAGCUCUGCCCGCAAGGAACGAGCGCAUUUAUUAGAAUAAAAACCAAUCGGGUUUCGGCCCGUAAUUUGGUGAAUCUGAAUAACUUUGCCAAUCGCACAGUCCUAGUACUGGCGAUGUAUCUUUCAAGUGUCUGCCUUAUCAACUUUCGAUGGUAGGUUAUACGCCUACCAUGGUAGUAACGGGUAACGGAGAAUAAGGGUUCGACUCCGGAGAGGGAGCCUGAGAAACGGCUACCACAUCCAAGGAAGGCAGCAGGCGCGCAAAUUACCCACUUCCAGAACGGAGAGGUAGUGACGAAAAAUAACGAGACAGUCCUCUUCGAGGUCUGUCAUCGGAAUGGGUACAAUUUAAAUCCUUUAACGAGGAUCUAUUGAGG